rnacentral:rRNA from 1 species
GAUGAACGCUGGCGGCGUGCCUAAUACAUUCAAGUCGAGCGAAGCGGUGACUGGUGCGUAACACGUGGAUAACCUCCUAUAAGACUGGGAUAACUUCGGGAAACCGGAGCUAAACCGGCUCCUUAAAGAUUGCUCCGCACUUCAUUAGCUAGUUGGUAAGGUACCGGCUUACCAAGUCAACGAUGCAUAGACGACCUGAGAGGGUGAUCGGCCACACUGGAACGGAGACACGGUCCAGACUCCUACGGGAGGCAGCAGUAGGGAAUCUUCCGAAAUGGGCGAAAGCCUGACGGAGCAACGCCGCGUGAGUGAUGAAGGUCUUCGGAUCGUAAAACUCUGUUGUUAGAGAAGCGGUAUCUAACCAGAAAGCCACGGCUAACUACGUGCCAGCAGCCGCGGUAAUUC